GACGUAGGGCGCGAGCGUUGUCCGGAUUUAUUGGGCGUAAAGAGCGUGUAGGCGGCCUUAUAAGUCGGCUGUGAAAGUCAAGGGCUCAACCCUUGAAUGCCGGCCGAUACUGUGAGGCUAGAGUCCGGAAGAGGCGAGUGGAAUUCCUGGUGUAGCGGUGAAAUGCGCAGAUAUCAGGAGGAACACCGAUGGCGAAGGCAGCUCGCUGGGACGGUACUGACGCUGAGACGCGAAAGCGUGGGGAGCGAACAGG
rnacentral:rRNA from 1 species